rnacentral:rRNA from 1 species
GAUGAGCGCCUAAAUGCAGAUCGGACGGUAGCACAGAGAGCUUGCUCUCGGGUGACGAGUGGCGGACGGGUGAGUAAUGUCUGGGGAUCUGCCCGAUAGAGGGGGAUAACCACUGGAAACGGUGGCUAAUACCGCAUAACGUCGCAAGACCAAAGAGGGGGACCUUCGGGCCUCUCACUAUCGGAUGAACCCAGAUGGGAUUAGCUAGUAGGCGGGGUAAUGGCCCACCUAGGCGACGAUCCCUAGCUGGUCUGAGAGGAUGACCAGCCACACUGGAACUGAGACACGGUCCAGACUCCUACGGGAGGCAGCAGUGGGGAAUAUUGCACAAUGGGCGCAAGCCUGAUGCAGCCAUGCCGCGUGUAUGAAGAAGGCCUUCGGGUUGUAAAGUACUUUCAGCGGGGAGGAAGGCGAUGUGGUUAAUAACCGCGUCGAUUGACGUUACCCGCAGAAGAAGCACCGGCUAACUCCGUGCCAGCAGCGCGGUAAUACGGAGGGUGCAAGCGUUAAUCGGAAUUACUGGGCGUAAAGCGCACGCAGGCGGUCUGUUAAGUCAGAUGUGAAAUCCCCGGGCUUAACCUGGGAACUGCAUUUGAAACUGGCAGGCUUGAGUCUUGUAGAGGGGGGUAGAAUUCCAGGUGUAGCGGUGAAAUGCGUAGAGAUCUGGAGGAAUACCGGUGGCGAAGGCGGCCCCCUGGACAAAGACUGACGCUCAGGUGCGAAAAGCGUGGGGAGCAAACAGGAUUAGAUACCCUGGUAGUCCACGCCGUAAACGAUGUCCACUUGGAGUUGUUCCCUUGAGGAGUGGCUUCCGGAGCUAACGCGUUAAGUCCACCGCCUGGGGAGUA